UAAUUGUUUGCACUGAUCCUUUACCAAAGCUUUUUGUACCUAGAAUAAUUGCGCGCCUAUGGUCUUGCAAUGCGCCAGCAACAAUCUCUGAUGCGGAAGCCGAACCACCAUUAAUAAUAACUACGAUAGGUUUGCCUUUUGCAAGGUCACCGCGCAUCGCGUUAAAGCGAUCACCCUCACCCUUAUGUUUACUUCGGGUUGAAACGAUUUCACCUUUAUCUAAAAAUGCAUCAGAUACUUUUAUUGCUUGGCUUAGAAGACCACCGGGGUUGUUUCUUA
rnacentral:ncRNA from 1 species